rnacentral:rRNA from 1 species
UACAGAGACUGCAAGCGUUGUUCGGAAUUACUGGGCGUAAAGGGCGCGUAGGCGGCCUUCUAAGUCGAACGUGAAAUCCCUGGGCUUAACCCAGGAACUGCGUCCGAUACUGGAAGGCUUGAAUCCGGGAGAGGGAUGCGGAAUUCCAGGUGUAGCGGUGAAAUGCGUAGAUAUCUGGAGGAACACCGGUGGCGAAGGCGGCAUCCUGGACCGGUAUUGACGCUGAGGCGCGAAAGCCAGGGGAGCAAACGGG